UUUGACUUCCAGGGUUAUCUCCAGAAGAUGAUUUUGCCCUCCUUCAAGGUUAGUAACAGGAAUGCAAAAUUUUGAGUGUCUACACUAGAUAUUCAGGCCCCAACAUUGCCCCCCAAUCUUUUGUUGAAUGUAACAUUUAAUUGAAGAGUAUACCAAACACGACCCAAUACAAUGAUUAUCAAUAAAUAAGAACAAAACCCCAAAGAAUUUAAGAACACGCGACCCAACCACUUUAAUAUUUUAUGUGAGACCCCGAAUUUUAUGAAAUGAAAGUAUUCAAUUUUCUUAUAAUUAUUCUAUUUAGUAAAUUGUUAAAUUGAUAAAAGGUUAAAGUUAAGGGUGAUAUGUGAAAUUUUUUUAAAGUAUGCAAGUUGUUAUAAAAUAUUCGUUUGGUCGGAGAAUAUUCUUUUUAUCGGGGAAUAUCAGUAGGACGGCAUAAUCAUUGGUGGACUCCACAACGGAAGUAUUGUCGUAGUAAGAAAACGACAGAAUUAUCUUUUUAUAAAAAUAACAACAAAAGUGUUACCGUUAAAACCUGUUGAACUACUCGGUAGUAAAAGUACAGUAAUACGCGUGGUUGCAUAGUAACACACGGUAUUGAUUAUUGAUGCUUACGUGAGAAGUCACUCAGUUAUACUCAAUUAUUGCUACAGUAAUUCCUGCAUCAUAUCUCUCAUAUUAUUGAUUCAAUUAUUGUCACAGUAUCAUCUGCAUUAUAUGAUAUAUUAUUAAAUCAAUAAUUGAGACGACAAAGUUAUUCAUAUUAUUAAAUUGCAAUAUUUACAAUGUCUAGAAGUUCUAUCAAGGAGAGGUUUGGUCAUCUAAUUGCGCGUCAAUAAGGAGAAAUCCUUAUCGGAAAGCCACAUCUUUCUUGGGAACGACCUGAUUGUUAAAUAUUGUGAGUUAUAAUAUUAAUGAUGAAUAAGUUCGUGUUGAUUAAAGAUAAAAUUGAUAGUUCCAUUGUAUUGGAAUUAUUAGUGUUAGUGGAUAUCGACAUUUAUUUUGAUAUUAAUUGAUGUCUGAAAGUUAUACUGACCAGUCGGGUAAUUAACCGGAUAAAUGAGCAAUUAAUUGCUAUUAAUUCACAUGAUUAUAACUAUUUGUUCACAUGUGUGUACUAUUGAUUCACAUUCUUGUACUAUUAGGGGAGUUGGUGCAAGAUUGAUA
rnacentral:lncRNA from 1 species